UAUUGGAUAACAUGCUCAAAUUCGGGACGCCAUUGGUCUAGUGCUUGUCAGUCUAUGGCGCGCCGAUGCUCGUGAACGCGCUGCGCAGACAGUGCACGACACGUAUGUGGCCAGAGUGUCUGGAGUCUGUCUGAAACUGAUAAAAAUGGUGAUGGAGUUUUUCAAGAGUCUUGCUCAUAUUUUAUUAGAAAGGCAAAAGGAGACAGACCGGAAUUUUGCAAUCAUCCAACACUAUAGUCAUUUCGUAGCUUGAAAACUAGAUUUUAUUGUAGCGCAUUUCAAAGUUUAUUCCAUGUUUUCAUCAGACAGUUCGAUUAUUCACAGGCAGGGGGAAAUACCAUUUUGGUGACCCCUUGAUACUGUCACAGAUUCAGCUACACUGAAAGAUGGUGCCCGUAAUCUGGAUCUUUGCUGCCAUGUGGACGGUAGGUUUAAAAGGGCAUUUCCCUUUUAACUGCAAGCACAUUUGGGCAUGUCAUGGAGAGACGGGUGAAACAGCAGGAAUGCAGAGAGGUAUCCAAAGCGUAACGUCUGACUCUUCUGAAAGCCAUACCCAACUGCUGGAGCGAGGCAUUGAAUGUGUUAGGACAGCUGCCUCCAUUUUAGGGAGGAGUUUUGUGGAGGAAGAUGGAGAUCCUUUCUACAGUACCAGAAUUUGCAGCGUGAAUCGAUUCUGAUUUGAGGCAUUGUUUGCAAUUUUUUUUAUCUCUUUGUCAUUCAGUGUUUACUUGCAAAUCGAAUAUAAUUAAUUUAGUAAAAAUGUUAUUAAAUUGCGCGUGUGGUGUUAUAUGAGAUUGUUGGAAAACGAUGAAUCGUACUUUGGGUUGAUUGCUUACCAGUCUCGGAUUGCAGCUAAUUUUGUUUUCUGUUUGAAGCAUAGCCACUAUUAUUGUAACAUUGUAAAGAUUUUGUUUUGUUUAGGCACAUAGUGACAGAUUUUAAUCGGCUUUUAUUGUAUUGUCUGUACUAAAAUUGUUAGUGAUACAAAAUACAAAACAAAACACCUUAAUGUUCAAAUAAAAAAUGCCUUUAGGGCCCCAGGAUUUUAGUGGUAAACAGUUAUGUUUUCUAAUCUGCUGUGAAAUUUUAUUUGUCUUAUUUUAAUGUGUAUUACCUAGAUAAUUAGCUGUUAUAUUUAGAUUUCUACCCUCAAGUCGCACAUUUGGCAGAUAGUAUUUUCAAAUGUAAACUUUGAACACAUUUCUUUAGAGAUGUUUUGUGUAAAACGUGACUAUUAGUUUAUGUCUUUAAAAAUGCAGAAUUUUAGCAUUUGUUUGAGAUUUAUUUUAUUCCCGUUUAUUACAGUGUUACAGUGUUUUGUGAUUUCUUUUGCCAUUUGAAUAAUGCUUAUCUUAUUUAUUAGCAUUUUUUUAUUGUUUUUUAUUUUAUCUUUUGUAAAUGGCAUGUUUAAAAUUCAACUGACAUUGUGAACUAAAUGAUUAUCUAAGAAAGCAGGCAAAUGUGCUUUGAAAUUAGGUUUUGAAAAGUUUGAGUAUUUCAUGUUUUUUAAUUUAAAAUCUGGGUAGUUACAUAACUUAAUAGCAUUGUUUUUGGUUUGUGUAAAACUGAAGGUAACUUAUUAAUUUAUUUAUUUAUUGUUGUAAUAAUUCUUUCAAAUUAGUGCUUGUACUGAACUGUAAUUUUUAUUACGAUUGCAUAGCAAUUUCAUUAAUGUAAUUUUUUUGUAAAAAUUGAAUUAUCGUAAUUAUUAUUGUAAUAAAAUUAUAAAUUGCUGUGAUAACAGUUUUUGUUUUUAUUAAUACAAAUAUAUUGGGUUAAUUCAUUCUCUAAAAGUCGAAACAAUGCUUGAUAUGAGUGAGACUGAUUGGAGUUUAGAAGGUGUAUAAGCUGCCAAAGCCACAAAUGUGCCAUUAACUAUGUGUGUGCAAGUGAAUGUGUGCGUGUAUUGGAGGGUGGAUUUGUGGCUUCGUGUCUUGGGCCUUGUGCUUCAAUGUCUGAGAUACACAAUGUUCUGGAAGAUUCAACCUCUUGAGACCCACUGGCCCUGAAAUCUUAUAACUCUAACUGGAAACUGGAAAAAUUUGGGGUGUGACACUGUUAUGAGGGGUUCAGAAGAAACUAGGUUUUGAGUCAUAACCUUUUAUAAAACAAAUUGUAGAUGGUGAUUUUUACUUACGAUUCUGCAUAUUCCUAUAAUAUACAAUGAACGUUUACCUUGUUUAAACAAUUUUAAAGUGGACAGACACUUUAAGUCAAGGUUUUUGAAACAAUAUGUGAGGAAAUGAAGAACGUUAAAAAACGUAAAAGGUUGAAACUGUUUCAGCAAUUUCGAAGUGCAGACGUUGGUAAUGUUUAUGCUGUUGGUUUACUGUUUCAGUGCAAGUGUCACAUGUCCUUUUGCUUAGUGAUAUGAUUGAUGUAUUCGUUCUUCAUUUUUAGUGAGAUAUUUCUCUUUUACUUUACUUCGGCAACAUGUCUUUUCCUAAAUCUUUUACACCAUGUUGUGUUUUUUUUUAGAUCUUUAGAAUCACUGAGGGUUAUGUUAAUAUGGGAAUUGUUUUCAGAGAUACAUGUUAAAUACAUUAACAUGCAUGUAUCUAAUUUAGUUACUUUUGAGCACUCUAAACCAAGCUGUUAUAUAGAAAUGUGUAUGAAUGAUUUUGUCAUAAUUUGUUAGCAGAUAGUUUUGGAUUGACAUAUGAACUUCAUCUUGUCAAUCCUUUAGUUGCAUUUAGCCUCACCAAAUGAAUGUAAACUGAUUAGAGCAAUUAAAAAAUCCAACCUACGAAUCAUGUUUGUUUGUUUUUUUAGAGAAAGUAUAGCUUGAUCACAAAUAUUUAAUGUUUUUGUAUAAACUGAUUAAGAAUUGCUGCUAACUAAGAAUAAUUUUUUGACCUUACCUAAAUAGACAAAAAUUCUAUUUUUAAUGUUUUCAUCGAUUUUUAAGUUCACAACUUUUGUUACAGCAGUUACUAUAAUUAAAAAGCAUUAUUGCAUACUGUUUACUGGAU